rnacentral:rRNA from 1 species
CAGCAGCCACGGUAAUACGUAGGGUGCGAGCGUUAAUCGGAAUUACUGGGCGUAAAGCGUGCGCAGGCGGUUAUGUAAGACAGAUGUGAAAUCCCCGGGCUCAACCUGGGAACUGCAUUUGUGACUGCAUGGCUAGAGUACGGUAGAGGGGGAUGGAAUUCCGCGUGUAGCAGUGAAAUGCGUAGAUAUGCGGAGGAACACCGAUGGCGAAGGCAAUCCCCUGGACCUGUACUGACGCUCAUGCACGAAAGCGUGGGGAGCAAACAGGAUUAGAUACCCGAGUAGUCCCUGUCUCUUAUAC